rnacentral:lncRNA from 1 species
AUGGCCACGAAGGAGUAGACGCAUGAUCUUACAUGAUCUGUGGGCCAAAGGAGCUUGAGGGAAAGAUCCAACGACUGGAAAGAUUUUUGAUUCCUUGUGAAAGCCUGUUUUUGAUGCAAACUAGAUUUUGGGCCUGUAAAAUGGUUGCAUGGAUCUAAGAAUAGGUGUAGUGGCUGAGAGCAUCAGAGAGGUAGAGAACGGGCUGAGGCAGCGGCUUGGAGUAGUAG